GAUAAACGCUGGCGGCGUGCCUAACACAUGCAAGUCGAACGCGUGUAGCAAUACACGAGUGGCGCACGGGUGAGUAACACGUGGAUUAUCUGCCUUUUGGUUCGGAAUAACCCCGGGAAACUGGGGCUAAUACCGGAUGGUUCCUACGGGAUAAAGAUUUAUCGCCAAAAGAUGAGUCCGCGCCCGAUUAGCUAGUUGGCGGGGUAAUGGCCCACCAAGGCAACGAUCGGUAGCUGGUCUGAGAGGACGAUCAGCCACACUGGGACUGAGACACGGC
rnacentral:rRNA from 1 species